AGAGUUUGAUCAUGGCUCAGGAUGAACGCUGGCGGCGUGCUUAAUACAUGUAAGUCGAACGCAAGGUAGUAGCAAUAUUAUCUUGAGUGGCGAACGGGUGCGUAACGCGUGGGUGACCUGCCCCAAAGUGAGGGAUAACAGUUCGAAAGGACUGCUAAUACCCCAUGUGGUGCGAGGGUUUAGAAGCCUCACACUAAAGGAGCAAUUCGCUUUGGGAGGGACCUGCGUCCCAUCAGCUAGUUGGUAGGGUAAUGGCCUACCAAGGCGACGACGGGUAGGGGGCCUGAGAGGGUGGCCCCCCACACUGGCACUGAAACACGGGCCAGACACCUACGGGUGGCAGCAGUAGGGAAUCUUGCACAAUGGGCGAAAGCCUGAUGCAGCAACGCCGCGUGCGCGAUGAAGGCCUUCGGGUCGUAAAGCGCUUUUCGGGGAGAUGAGGAAGGACAGUAUCCCCGGAAUAAGUCUCGGCUAACUACGUGCCAGCAGCCGCGGUAAAACGUAGGAGGCAAGCGUUAUCCGAAUUUACUGGGCGUAAAGCGUGUGCAGGCGGUGCGGUAAGUUGGAUGUGAAAUCUCCUGGCUCAACUGGGAGAGGUCGUUCAAAACUGCCGGACUAGAGGAUGGUAGAGGGAGGUGGAAUUCCGGGUGUAGUGGUGAAAUGCGUAGAUAUCCGGAGGAACACCUGUGGCGAAAGCGGCCUCCUGGACCAUGCCUGACGCUGAAACACGAAAGCUAGGGGAGCGAACGGGAUUAGAAACCCCGGUAGUCCUAGCCGUAAACGAUGUGAACUGGGUGUCGGUGGGGUAAAAGCCAUCGGUGCCGAAGCCAACGCGAUAAGUUCACCGCCUGGGGACUACGGCCGCAAGGUUAAAACUCAAAGGAAUUGACGG
rnacentral:rRNA from 1 species